ACACAAAUAUUUGCAGGACGGGUCGUGUGUCAAUGUAUUGAUCUCUUAGCUAUAUUGCACACUUCCCGCCCUUUAAAUGUCCAGUGUU
rnacentral:pre_miRNA from 1 species